GAUGAACGCUGGCGGCGUGCCUAAUACAUGCAAGUCGAGCGAACAGACGAGGAGCUUGCUCCUCUGACGUUAGCGGCGGACGGGUGAGUAACACGUGGCUAACCUACCUAUAAGACUGGGAUAACUUCGGGAAACCGGAGCUAAUACCGGAUAAUAUAUUGAACCGCAUGGUUCAAUAGUGAAAGACGGUUUUGCUGUCACUUAUAGAUGGAUCCGCGCCGCAUUAGCUAGUUGGUAAGGUAACGGCUUACCAAGGCAACGCUGCGUAGCCGACCUGAGAGGGGGAUCGGCCACACUGGAACGGAGACACGGUCCAGACUCCUACGGGAGGCAGCAGGAGGGAAUCUUCCGCAAUGGGCGAAAGCCCGACGGAGCAACGCCGCGUGAGUGAGGAAGGUCUUCGGAUCGUAAAACUCUGUUAGUAGGGAAGAACAAAUGUGUAAGUAACUAUGCACGUCUUGACGGUACCUAAUCAGAAAGCCACGGCUAACUACGUG
rnacentral:rRNA from 1 species